CGUUUACUUAACACCAUAGCAGCCAUUUUCCCCUGUUGCCAUGGGAACAUUAUGAAGUGACGUAAUUACACAACAAGACCAACA